GCCUCUGUGGUUUAGUGUUAGCACGCGGCCCCGGUAUAGAUGAAACGCGGGUUCGACUCCCGCCUGAGGACG